rnacentral:rRNA from 1 species
GAUGAACGCUGGCGGCGUGCCUAAUACAUGCAAGUCGAACGAGGUCUUCGGACCGAGUGGCGAACGGGUGAGUAACACGUUGGUACCUACCCCGAAGUGGGGAAGUAACUGGCCGAAAGGUCGGCUAAUACCGCAUAAUACCGCAAGGUUAAAGCAGUAAUGCGCUUCGGGAGGGGCCUGCGUCCCAUUAGCUAGUUGGUGAGGUAAUUGCUCACCAAGGCAACGAUGGGUAGCUGGAUCGAGAGGUUGACCAGCCACACUGGGACUGAGAUACGGCCCAGACUCCUACGGGAGGCAGCAGUAAGGAAUCUUCCACAAUGGACGAAAGUCUGAUGGAGCAACGCCGCGUGCAGGAUGACGGCCUUCGGUUGUAACU